rfam:Aedes aegypti strain Liverpool supercont1.243 genomic scaffold, whole genome shotgun sequence.
CAAUCGGCCCUUUCCAGGGCCAUCAAAUGUGUACUAAAUAGUUAAUU